UUGGAACUGAGACACGGUCCAAACUCCUACGGGAGGCAGCAGUGAGGAAUAUUGGUCAAUGGACGAGAGUCUGAACCAGCCAAGUAGCGUGAAGGAUGAAGGUUCUAUGGAUUGUAAACUUCUUUUAUACGGGAAUAAACGGAUCCACGUGUGGAUUUUUGCAUGUACCGUAUGAAUAAGGAUCGGCUAACUCCGUGCCAGCAGCCGCGGUAAUACGGAGGAUCCGAGCGUUAUCCGGAUUUAUUGGGUUUAAAGGGAGCGUAGAUGGGUUGUUAAGUCAGUUGUGAAAGUUUGCGGCUCAACCGUAAAAUUGCAAUUGAUACUGGCAGUCCUGAGUACAGUUGAGGUAGGCGGAAUUCGUGGUGUAGCGGUGAAAUGCUUAGAUAUCACGAAGAACUCCGAUUGCGAAGGCAGCUUACUAACCUGUAACUGACAUUGAUGCUCGAAAGUGUGGGUAUCAAACAGGAUUAGAUACCCUGGUAGUCCACACGGUAAACGAUGAAUACUCGCUGUAGG
rnacentral:rRNA from 1 species